CUAGCGGCAUGCCUUACACAUGCAAGUCGAACGGCAGCACGGACUUCGGUCUGGUGGCGAGUGGCGAACGGGUGAGUAAUGUAUCGGAACGUGCCUAGUAGCGGGGGAUAACUACUCGAAAGGUUGGCUAAUACCGCAUACGCCCUACGGGGGAAAGCAGGGGAUCUUCGGACCUUGCGUUAAUGGAGCGGCUGAUAUCUGAUUAGCUAGUUGGUGAGGUAAAGGCUCACCAAGGCGACGAUCAGUAGCUGGUCUGAGAGGACGACCAGCCACACUGGAACUGAGACACGGUCCAGACUCCUACGGGAGGCAGCAGUGGGGAAUUUUGGACAAUGGGCGCAAGCCUGAUCCAGCCAUUCCGCGUGAGUGAAGAAGGCCUUCGGGUUGUAAAGCUCUUUCGCAAGGGAAGAAAACUUACUUUUUAAUAAAGAGUGAGGUUGACGGUACCUUGAUAAGAAGCACCGGCUAACUACGUGCCAGCAGCCGCGGUAAUACGUAGGGUGCGAGCGUUAAUCGGAAUUACUGGGCGUAAAGCGUGCGCAGGCGGCUUUGUAAGUCAGAUGUGAAAUCCCCGAGCUCAACUUGGGAACUGCGUUUGAAACUACAAGGCUAGAAUAUGUCAGAGGGGGGUAGAAUUCCACGUGUAGCAGUGAAAUGCGUAGAGAUGUGGAGGAAUACCAAUGGCGAAGGCAGCCCCCUGGGAUAAUAUUGACGCUCAUGCACGAAAGCGUGGGGAGCAAACAGGAUUAGAUACCCUGGUAGUCCACGCCCUAAACGAUGUCUACUAGUUGUUGGUGGAGUAAAAUCCAUGAGUAACGCAGCUAACGCGUGAAGUAGACCGCCUGGGGAGUACGGUCGCAAGAUUA
rnacentral:rRNA from 1 species